rnacentral:rRNA from 2 species
AGUCGAGCGGACUUGAUGGAGUGCUUGCACUCCUGAUGGUUAGCGGCGGACGGGUGAGUAACACGUAGGUAACCUGCCCAUAAGACUGGGAUAACCCACGGAAACGUGAGCUAAUACCAGAUAGGCAUUUUCCUCGCAUGAGGGGAAUGAGAAAGGCGGAGCAAUCUGUCACUUAUGGAUGGACCUGCGGCGCAUUAGCUAGUUGGUGAGGUAACGGCUCACCAAGGCGACGAUGCGUAGCCGACCUGAGAGGGUGAUCGGCCACACUGGGACUGAGACACGGCCCAGACUCCUACGGGAGGCAGCAGUAGGGAAUCUUCCGCAAUGGACGAAAGUCUGACGGAGCAACGCCGCGUGAGUGAUGAAGGUUUUCGGAUCGUAAAGCUCUGUUGCCAGGGAAGAACGCCUAGGAGAGUAACUGCUCUUAGGGUGACGGUACCUGAGAAGAAAGCCCCGGCUAACUACGUGCCAGCAGCCGCGGUAAUACGUAGGGGGCGAGCGUUGUCCGGAAUUAUUGGGCGUAAAGCGCGCGCAGGCGGCAAUGUAAGUUGGGUGUUUAAACCUAGGGCUCAACCUUGGGUCGCAUCCAAAACUGCAUAGCUUGAGUACAGAAGAGGAAAGUGGAAUUCCACGUGUAGCGGUGAAAUGCGUAGAGAUGUGGAGGAACACCAGUGGCGAA